UAAAGGUUUGGUCCUAGCCUUACUAUUGGCCCUUAGCAAAAUUACACAUGCAAGUCUCCCCCUACCAGUGAGAAUGCCCUCCAAAUCAUAAAUUUGAUUGAAAGGAGCGGGUAUCAAGCACGCCAAUAAGCAGCUCACAACGCCUUGCUCAACCACACCCCCACGGGAUACAGCAGUGAUAAAAAUUAAGCAAUGAACGAAAGUUCGACUAAGUUAUGCUAACAAAGGGUUGGUAAAUUUCGUGCCAGCCACCGCGGUCAUACGAUUAACCCUAGUCAAUAGGCCAACGGCGUAAAACGUGUUAAAGAGAAUUACUUAACUAAAGUUAAAAUUUAAUUAAGCUGUAGAAAGCUAUUGUUAUUAUAAAAUAAACUACGAAAGUGACUUUAUUACCUCUGACUACACGACAGCUAAGACCCAAACUGGGAUUAGAUACCCCACUAUGCUUAGCCAUAAACACAGACAAUUAAUGUAACAAAAUUGUUCGCCAGAGAACUACUAGCAACAGCUUAAAACUCAAAGGACUUGGCGGUGCUUUAUAUCCCUCUAGAGGAGCCUGUUCUAUAAUCGAUAAACCCCGAUAGACCUCACCGUUUCUAGCUAAUCCAGUCUAUAUACCGCCAUCUUCAGCAAACCCUUAAAAGGCACACAAGUAAGCACAAUCAUACGACAUAAAAAAGUUAGGUCAAGGUGUNGCCUAUGAAACGGGAAGAAAUGGGCUACAUUUUCUUUAACAAGAACAUUCUACGAAAGACUUUAUGAAAUUAAAGGCCGAAGGAGGAUUUAGUAGUAAAUUAAGAAUAGAGAGCUUAAUUGAAUAGGGCCAUGAAGCACGCACACACCGCCCGUCACCCUCCUCAAGUAACUCUAUUUAGACACAACAUAUAACUCUGCCCUAAUACAAGAGGAGACAAGUCGUAACAAGGUAAGCGUACUGGAAGGUGCGCUUGGAUAAA
rnacentral:ncRNA from 1 species